rnacentral:tRNA from 1 species
GGAGGGGUCGCAUAGAGGCCUAGUGCGGGCGCCUGCUAAGCGCUUAGGAGGGUUAUACCCUUCUCAUGGGUUCGAAUCCCAUUCCCUCCGCCG